rnacentral:rRNA from 1 species
UACGUAGGGUGCAAGCGUUGUCCGGAAUUAUUGGGCGUAAAGAGCUCGUAGGCGGUCUGUCGCGUCUGCUGUGAAAACUCAGGGCUUAACCCUGAGCUUGCAGUGGGUACGGGCAGACUAGAGUGCGGUAGGGGAGACUGGAAUUCCUGGUGUAGCGGUGAAAUGCGCAGAUAUCAGGAGGAACACCGGUGGCGAAGGCGGGUCUCUGGGCCGUAACUGACGCUGAGGAGCGAAAGCAAGGGGAGCGAACAGG